rnacentral:sRNA from 1 species
ACAUUAUUUUAUUAAUCACUCACACAUAUCGACACGUGCUCCGGGGUGCCCAAGGUUUAUUGCUAAGCGAUAAGUCGGCUGAUAAGUCAGCCAAGGGUCGGUAGCAUGGGAUAUGUGGACGCCUAAC